AUGUUCCCUUAUUUCCCCCUAUUUUUUCUAAUUUCCCCCCUAUUUUUCCCUUUCCCCCCCAUAUUUUUCCCAUUUCCUCCCAUUUUGCUCAAUUUACCCCAUUUUCUCCCAUUUUCCCCAAUUUUCCCAAUUUUUUACCAUUUUCCUUCAUUUUUCCCCCUUUUCCCCAUUUUCUCCCAUAUUUUCCCAUUUUUCUCCCAUAUUUUCCUUAAUUUACCCCAAUUUUCCCCAUUUUCUCCCAUUUUCCUCAAUUUUUCUCAAAUUUUUCCCAUUUAUCAUCAAUUUUCCCCAUAUAUUCCCAUUUUUCCACAUUUUUUCUCAUUUUUUCUCAUUCUUCCCUGUAUUCUCCCCAAUUCCCUCCAUUUUCCCCCUUGUUUUCCCAUUUUUCUCAAUUUUUUCCAAUUUUUCCCAUUUUCUCCCAAUUUUCCCCAUUUCCUCCCAUUUCCCCCCAAUUUUCCCCACUUUUCCCCCAUAUUAUCCCAAAUUUCCCCCAUUUUUUCCCCAUUUACCCCAAUUUUGCCCCAUUUUCCCCAUUUUCUCCAAAUUUUUCCCGUUUUUUCCCCUUUUUCUAAUUUUUUCCUCAUAUAUCAUCAUUUUCCCACUUUUUUAAUCAAUUUUUUCCUUUUUUUCGCAUUUUUCCCAUUUUUCCUAAUUUUCCCCCAUUUUUUCCCCAUUUCUCCUCCAUAUCCUCCCCAUAUUUUUCCCAAUUCCCCCCAUUUUCCCCAUUUCCCCCAUUUUUCCCAUUUCCACCCCAUUUUUCCCCAAAUUUCUCCCACAUAUUUUUCCCAUCUUCCCCCCAUUUUCCCCAAUUUCUUCAAAUUUUUCCCAAUUUCCCCCCAUUUUCCCCCAUUUUUCCCAUUUCCCCCGAUUUCCCCCCAUUUUUCCCAAUUUCCCACCAUUUCCCCCAUUAUUUCCCCAUUUCUCCCCAUUUCCCCCCAUUUUUCUCCCCAAAUAUUCCCAUUUUUUCCCAUUUUUACCCCAAAUUUUCCUAUUUCCCCCAUUUUUCCCAUUUUCCCCCAUUUUCCCCCCAUUUUUCCCAAUUUCCCCCCAUUUUUCCCUAUUUCCCCCCAUUUCCCCCCAUUUUUCCACAUAUUUUUCCCCAUUUCACCCCAUUUUUCCCAUUUCCCCCCCAUAUUUUUCCCAUUUCCCCCCAUUUUCCCCCCAUUUCCCCCAUUUUCCCCCAAUUUCCCCCCAUUUCCCCCCAUUUUUCUCCCCAAAUUUUCCCGUUUUUUCCCAUUUUUACCCCAAAUUUUCCCGUUUUCCCCGCAUUUUCCCCCAAUUCCCCCCCCAGCCCCCCAUGUCCGCCCCCCCCUCCCCCCUCCCCCCCCCCCUGCACACCCUCACCCUCACCCCUCCCCCCCCUCCCCCCCCAAAUCCCCCCAGGAACCCCCGGAAAACCCCGACAAACCCUCGGAAAAAGCCCCAAAAUCGCCGGAAUUCGCCCCAAACUCCCCGGAGGAGGAGGAGUGGGGGGUGCCCUGGAGCGAGGAGGAGGAGGAGGAGCCCCCCGGGGGAUGGACCCCCGAGCCCCCCGAGAUCCGGCGCCUCUUCGAGGCCAUCGCGCGCGCCGGGACCCUCCCGCUGCGGAGCGGCCCCCUGCCCCGCCGCCAGCCCACCCCGGAGCCCCCCAGCGACCCCGAGGACGGGGGGGACCCCGCCCAGAGCCCCCCGCAGCGGCCCCCCGAGAUCAAGUACACUUUGGGGCCAAAAAGCGGGGUUUUGGGCAAAAAAAUGGGAUUUAUGGGAAAAAAACCCGGCAUUUCUAGGGGGUUUAGGGGCCAUUUUAGGGGGAUUUUUGUGCCAUUUCAGAGGGAAAGUUCAGGGUUUUGGAAGGUUUGGGAUGGAUUUUGGGAGCUUUCAGAUGGAUUUUGGGAGAUUUGGGAUGGAUUUUGGGGGAUUUAG
ensembl:lncRNA